AUGCCGGGGCCUCUCUCUGUGCCCCUGGCACGCCUCUGUGCAGGCCGGGCCUGCACCACCCCCCGCCCGGCCCCCAGGCAGGGUCCGUGUGGCUGCAGACACCCAGAGCGAGGGGAGGCUGGGGAGGCUGGGGAGCCGUGGCAGCCCGAUGCAGUGCGGGUCUCCAGGUGGAGGGGCCCUGGUCCCCUGGCGCCAGCGUGGCCCUUCCUCCUUGUGGAAACCCUUGUGGUGUGUGUGCUCUCUCGCCCUGACCCAGGAGAGCAGCAUGGCGGACCCCUGAUCUUGUGGCGUGCCACCGCGCGAGGCCGAGGAGCUCCCGCAGCCCAGUGGGCGUGGCGUCCUUGUCGCGGCUCUGUGGAGACCUGGCGAUGGAGAGCAGCAUGGCGGACCCCUGAUCUUGUGGCGUGCCACCGCGCGAGGCCGAGGAGCUCCCGCAGACCAGUGGGCGUGGCGUCCUUGUCGCGGCUCUGUGGAGACCUGGCGAUGGUGAGCGGCCCCUGUCCUCAGUGGUGGAGAACUCGCCCUUGGGGCGCUCGUCUGUCCGGAGCCCCGGGCCAGCCCCGCUUCUCGCGGGCUUUGGCCCCGGCAGGCCAGCUCCGGGGCGUGAGGGGGAGCGUCCCGUCCUGCCCAGUGGCUCGUCUGUCUGGGCACGCCCCCAAACGCUGCCGUGAUGGAGCGGGUGGGAUGUCCAGGUGCGGAGGCCGUGAAUUUGCCUUGCGGCGGCGGAGCCCGUGCUCGGAUCGAUGAUGACUCCCUCUAAAGCAUUCCUUGGAAAUCUGAACAAAAUGAGUGAGAACUCACUACCGUCUCCUCAUCGAAACUGAGGUCCGGCACGUGGCGGCCACCGGGGGCUCGGGGUAGAUGGGCCCUUGGCCUUGGGGCCUCUGGUGUCAGCAGCCACUCGGGUGAGGUCUGGGGAAGGCGGCCGCCUGCCGGGCCCAGGAAGCAUGGGGCCCGUCGCCCGGCGCUGGCCUCGGGGGAGAGGCCGCGUGCCCGAGCGUGCUGGAGAUCCCGGGCGGCCUCCCGCCGGCCUUGGGGGUUUCGCAAGCCGUCGCGGGGGCCGAAAUUUGGGCCCGGCCCGCGAGGCAAGUGUGCGGCCCUAGGGCCCCAGGGGGCGUCCUGGCCCAGGCCGGGCGCCCUUCUCAGGAUGCUGUGGGGAGACGGGAUCCCGGCAGGGUAGUGUUCUCUUUCUGCUCUGGGGACCCCUGAGGGCCACCUGCUGCAGGGGGUCUGUGGUAGCGGGGGCCCUUGGAUCAGGGCCGUCCCCCAUGGGAGGGGGCAGCCUGGGAACCCCUGAGGGCGCUCCCCUGGGACGUCCAGGGAUGUUGGGGCGGAGGCUGGGGCUGGGUGGCGAGAAGGGGGCAGCUGAAGUGGUGAGCGACAGGCGGGCAGAGGGAGCCUGCCGGGGACGUGGGUGGACAGGCCCACGUCUGGAUGGGCGAGGGGCUCUGGAGGAGGUGCCCUGGCCUCAAGUGGGAUGGCGUCAGCGGCUGUGGGAGGCCCGGGUAGGCAAGGACCGCGCGGGCAGGGGCGGGGACGGUCUUGCAUGUGGCCUCUCCUCUGGGAGGCGUGGCUCCCCGUGGGGGUCUGGGGAAGGCAGCCGCCAGGUCCCUGGGCCGCGGCGCGGACCG
ensembl:lncRNA